rnacentral:lncRNA from 1 species
CAUUGAGCCCCAGAAGGCAAAAUUAGGAGCAGUGGUGGAAGAUUCAAAGAAGAAAAUGUAGGGCUGAGGAUAGGAAAAUUCCUAACCAGUAAGCUAUCCCGUAGUCACAUGAAUUACUUCAAGAGGUCACUAUUCUCUCAUCUUUAGAAGAACAUGUUGGACUAGAUGCUCUCUAAAGUCUCUUCAAGCUCUAAAUUUAUGAUUCUACAAAAAAUGGAGAGAUAUUGAAGAUUUUCAAGCAGGCAUGCAGAUGAUGCAGUGAAUUGAGCACUGGACCUGCAGUCAAGAAGACCUGAGUUCAAAUACUUGCUGGUUGUGUGACCCUGGGCAAGUCACUCUGCUUGCCUUUUUCCCUCAACUGUUAAAUGAAGAAAUGUUUGCUUUGAAGCUGCUGGAAGGACAUUCCAAUGAAGAAUCCUGGAGACUUUCGAUACUAGAACAAGUAUCCCUUGAGAGAAAGAGUUCAUAAUUCACUCCUAAGAAGUUUGGAACCUCUUUGCUGAGGGCUGAGUCAACAAGGGCUGUUUUUUGCUUCAACUUCAUUGAGAGGCGGAUAGCAUGGUAG